CCAAAUAUUAUAAAGUAAGAAAUCAAAAAUCAUUUCCCAAGAUACAUAGUUUUAACAUGCACUACCAUUUACUAAAAAAAUCGUAUUUCUUUCUCCUAUCGAUUCUUAACUAAUAUGUUACGAACUCAAGAUGGAUAAUAUAACUUCAUUGAUGAUCGAGAAAAGAGAGAUAAUAGUAAAGAAGAGAUAUCCAGAAACAGAGGAGGAAAGAAGAAACUUAGAGAAGAAAAUAACAUGGCAUUACAGAUUGCAUAACUCAUUCCAUAUUCUCUACUGUCUCUAUAUAUAUGACUAAUUAGUUGUAAUCAACUCCAUGUAAUCAGCUAGUGCAUGAGGUCUUCGUUUCUGACAUGGAGACUGAUAUGGCACCUGCCGGACUAAAAGCUGUUGCUCUACAGUAUUCGUAGUAUGAUACUAAAUAAAGCUAAAUAACAUAUAAUUAGGUAAAUAACAUAGUAAUUCAACUCUAAUAACUUUUUAUUUUGUACACAUGAGCACUAUCAUUAUAUACUUUUAUCAUUUGUCAUUGUUGUUACAUAUUUUUAUAAUUUUAAUAAUUUGUUUGAUAAUUUGUCAUUAAAUAUACACAUUUUUAUCACCCAACCUAAGUUAUUAUUUUGGUGACUCCUUAUUUUUAGAAUUAAUUUUAUUGUUUUUAAAAUCUGAAUUUUUAUAGAGAAUUGAGUUGUUGAGAUAAAACUUAAGAUUUCACUUGUAACUCAAUUUCAUGUACAAUUUCAUGUAAAAAUUUAGAUUUAAAAAAAAAAUUAGGGAAAUGAUCCAAAAAGUGCAGUUACCAAAAAAUGCAUAUCAGAUGAAGCAGACAGAUCCGAGAUCAGUAAUAUAAUCAGAGAUAUCCAACAAAAUACGAGAGGCUUCAAAGAAAAACAUUUUAAACAUCUACCCGGAACUGCUAAUCGAUUGGCUCAUGUUAUUGCAUCUGAAAGUUUAAAAAUAGGAGUAGAAGUGUACUAGUAGGUGCGUUAACGGAUUUCGCUGGGAUGUCAUGGGGCCUUGGGACACAUCGGGAACGUGAACUGGAUUGAACGAGGGCGUCGUUGUUCUUGAAUCGGUGUAGGAGUGCAGAAAUGGAGGUCACGUGGGAAAGGGGUCUAUGCUCGAGGAACUGAUUCGUCAAAGGAGAAAAUAGAGAGUUCUAGAAGAUGAUCUUAUAGGUUUCAAAUCAGGCUGGAUUAAAUUUACUGUUUUACUGUUUUUUUUUCAAGGUUUCCUUUUGUGUUUUUCUAUGCUACUUUUUGUUGCCG
rnacentral:lncRNA from 1 species